rnacentral:lncRNA from 1 species
GGUCUCAGACCCCGGCCCUGCUGCGUCCCCACCCUUUGGUCACCGGCACUCUGAGCGCAGGGCCCCGGCCGCAGAGGCCGCAGAGGCUGCAGAGGCUUACGGAAGGGCUGGCCCUGCUGUGCACACGGCCCGGUGGUCAGGCUGGGGGACCUGGACUAGCCAGAUCAGGACGGGACAGGACUGGACAGGACAGGGUGCGGGGACCUGAAUGGGACUGGACAGGACCGGACAGGUUCUCUCUCCACUUUGGCUGUCUCCCACGAGCACGCGCAGACUGCAGGGCCCAGGCUCGCCUCUCCCGGUGCUCGCAGUGACCAGGAGCGGUCCAGAGAAGCAAGGAAACUUGUCAAGGGUAUCAUAAGGAUCCUGGAGAUGACCGAACAUAUGUGGGUGGUGUGCACAGGUCACACGAGAACCUCGUGUCACUUUAUGUGAAGGAUGUGAGGACCUGUGGGUCCUUGGGGCCCUGGAGCUGAUCCCUCAUGGAUCCUAAGGAACAACUACGUAUGCACUCAGGAUCUUGCUAUGUUUUCCAGGCUUAUUUUGGCUUCAAGCGAAUCCUCCUCCUGAGUAGCUGGACUGCAGGUGUACUCUGCCCCACCUGUCUGGGAUAACACAUAACCCCACUCUUUGCGGAUUGAACCCAGGGCCUAUAAACUAUGAGCUCAUCUACAGCUCUUUUGAUAAAUUUUAAUUUUGACACAGG